GGGGUGCCUUUUUGGCCCCCGAAUCUGUGUGUGAAUAGCCCAUUUCCAUUGGCCUGGAUGGGCGGUUCGGGAAUC
ncrna:unclassified sequences L13-Bacteroidia ribosomal protein leader